GUACACUCCUGCGGGAGGCAGCAGUGGGGAAUUUUGGACAAUGGGCGAAAGCCUGAUCCAGCAAUGCCGCGUGAGUGAAGAAGGCCUUCGGGUUGUAAAGCUCUUUUGUCAGGGAAGAAACGGUGAAAGCUAAUAUCUUUUGCUAAUGACGGUACCUGAAGAAUAAGCACCGGCUAACUACGUGCCAGCAGCCGCGGUAAUACGUAGGGUACAAGCGUUAAUCGGAAUUACUGGGCGUAAAGCGUGCGCAGGCGGUUUUGUAAGUCUGAUGUGAAAUCCCCGGGCUCAACCUGGGAAUUGCAUUGGAGACUGCAAGGCUAGAAUCUGGCAGAGGGGGGUAGAAUUCCACGUGUAGCAGUGAAAUGCGUAGAUAUGUGGAGGAACACCGAUGGCGAAGGCAGCCCCCUGGGUCAAGAUUGACGCUCAUGCACGAAAGCGUGGGGAGCAAACAGGAUUAGAAACCCGAGUAGUCCCAUGA
rnacentral:rRNA from 1 species